UACAUGUGCUGGAAAAGAAGCCAUGGGGUGU
rnacentral:piRNA from 1 species